CCGCCUUCUUUCUCUACUUCGUGACCUUUUGUGGUCCCGAGACCUGCUGCAUCUUCUGUCUGAUGUUCGGCUUGAGUGUCUACUUCGUGAACGACUUCUCUUUCUUCUUUCUCUGUCACGAGCCCUUUCUUUUUCUCUUUCUUCCUCUUCCCUUCGUCUUUUCCUUUCUCUUUCUUCCCUUUCUCUCUCCCGUUCUUUUUCUCUUUCUUCUCUUUCUUGCUUCUCCUUUUUUAGACGCUCAUCACGAUCAGGUUCUUCGGUUCUUUUC
rnacentral:lncRNA from 1 species